rnacentral:lncRNA from 1 species
AUUGCUAUAGCAGUGGUUAGAUAAUCGUUGCUAUAGCCAAUCUAUAGCAGCGGUUGAAAAGCCACUGCUAUACAUUUGUUAUAGCAACAGUUGAAAAACUACUACAAUAUCCUAUAUAUGGCAGUGGUUGCAGCAACCGCUACAACAACCGCUGCCAUAGACCUACGACGACGGCAAUAGUGGCAGUAGUUAUGGAUCCACUACCAUAGGCUAUGGUGGCGGUUUUUUUGCCUAUGGUAGUGGUUCAUAAUCACUGUCGUAGUCCCUUUCUGUAGUAG